AAAAAAGAAAGUGUUGUCUUCCUCGCCAUGUGUAUUCCAAUGUCUGGAAUCAAAAUAUUAAACAAUCCUUGCUUUAAAGUUUUUGCACAAUUGGAUGAAAAAUAACUUCUGGAUCAAGAAGUGUUUCAUCGGAAUUUAUUUAGAGGGCAAUAUUUUGGAUAAGUUACUGAACUAAAGGAUCCAAAAGGAAUAAAGAUUUGGAAAAAGUGAUUCAACCAAGUUUUGAAAAAUUUGACCAUAAUUUCUCUUCUGAAAAAGUUUAUUUGUAAUUAUGUUGUUAUUUAACUUGUAAUUAGUGUAAAAUAAACCUUUUUGAUGUUUUAACUUCUUUGUUUUCAUUGUUGACACUUCUGGAUAUUGUCUCUUCUUAUUUCUUAUGUAGACAUGCUCACAUAUUUUUUUGGUAAUAAUUUUUGAGCUAAAAUUCUUUCUCUCGAUAAAAUUGUUUUCGAGAUGCUUACCUUUAAUGGAUACUUAUGGUGUUUAAAAAUUAAUUUAUCCAUAAGUU